rnacentral:rRNA from 1 species
AGAGUUUGAUCCUGGCUCAGAAUCAACGCUGGCGGCGUGCCUAACACAUGCAAGUCGAGCGAGAAAGGGAGCUUCGGUUCCCAAGUAAAGCGGCGGACGGGUGAGUAACACGUGGGUAAUCUGCCCUCGGGUGGGGAAUAACUCAGGGAAACCUGGGCUAAUUCCGCAUGAUAUUCCCGAUACUCAAGUAUUGGAAAUCAAAGCUGGGGACCCUUCGGGGCCUGGCGCCUGAGGAGGAGCCCGCGGCCAAUUAGCUUGUUGGUGGGGUAAUGGCCCACCAAGGCUUCGAUUGGUAGCCGGCCUGAGAGGGCGGACGGUCACACUGGGACUGAGACACGGCCCAGACUCCUACGGGAGGCAGCAGUGGGGAAUUUUUGUCAAUGGGGGAAACCCUGAACAAGCAACGCCGCGUGGAGGACGAAGACCCUCGGGUUGUAAACUCCUGUCGGAGGGGACGAAUGUGCCGGUGGUUAAUACCCAUCAGUAUUGACGGUACCCUACGAGGAAGCCCCGGCUAACUCCGUGCCAGCAGCCGCGGUAAUACGGGGGGGGCAAGCGUUGUUCGGAAUUACUGGGCGUAAAGGGCGCGUAGGCGGACCAGACAGUCUCUCGUGAAAUCCCACGGCUCAACCGUGGAACUGCGGGAGAUACUACUGGUCUUGAGUUCGGGAGAGGAGUGUGGAAUCCCAGUGUAGCGGU